CUUAGUGGCGGACCGGGUGAGUAACGCGUGGGUAACCUGCCUCACACUGGGGGAUAACAGUUAGAAAUAGCUGCUAAUACCGCAUAAGCGCACAGUUCCGCAUGGAACAGUGUGAAAAACUCCGGUGGUGUGAGAUGGACCCGCGUCUGAUUAGCCAGUUGGCGGGGUAACGGCCCACCAAAGCGACGAUCAGUAGCCGGCCUGAGAGGGUGAACGGCCACAUUGGGACUGAGACACGGCCCAAACUCCUACGGGAGGCAGCAUG
rnacentral:rRNA from 1 species